rnacentral:SRP_RNA from 1 species
ACCCGGGUCCCGCGCGACGAUGGCCCCCGAACCUCGUCAGGCCCGGAAGGGAGCAGCGAUAAGGGGACAACCACGGGCGCCGCGGUGUCCCCGGGUUCC